rnacentral:rRNA from 1 species
UGGUGGAGUGAUUUGUCUGCUUUAUUGCGUCAACGAGCGAGAUCUUUGUCAGCUAAAUAGAUUAGAUUCUUCUUAGAGAGACUCCACGUAAAAACGUGAGGAGGUAGAGGUAAUAACA